AUGAACGCUAGCUACAGGCUUAACACAUGCAAGUCGAGGGGCAGCAUGGUCUUAGCUUGCUAAGACUGGAUGGCGACCGGCGCACGGGUGAGUAACACGUAUCCAACCUGCCGUCUACUCUUGGACAGCCUUCUGAAAGGAAGAUUAAUACAAGAUGGCAUCAUGAGUCCGCAUGUUCACAUGAUUAAAGGUAUUCCGGUAGACGAUGGGGAUGCGUUCCAUUAGAUAGUAGGCGGGGUAACGGCCCACCUAGUCUUCGAUGGAUAGGGGUUCUGAGAGGAAGGUCCCCCACAUUGGAACUGAGACACGGUCCAAACUCCUACGGGAGGCAGCAGUGAGGAAUAUUGGUCAAUGGGCGAGAGCCUGAACCAGCCAAGUAGCGUGAAGGAUGACUGCCCUAUGGGUUGUAAACUUCUUUUAUAAAGGAAUAAAGUCGGGUAUGGAUACCCGUUUGCAUGUACUUUAUGAAUAAGGAUCGGCUAACUCCGUG
rnacentral:rRNA from 1 species